GUGGGGAAUAUUGGACAAUGGGCGAAAGCCUGAUCCAGCCAUGCCGCGUGUGUGAAGAAGGUCUUCGGAUUGUAAAGCACUUUAAGUUGGGAGGAAGGGCAGUAAGUUAAUACCUUGCUGUUUUGACGUUACCGACAGAAUAAGCACCGGCUAACUUCGUGCCAGCAGCCGCGGUAAUACGAAGGGUGCAAGCGUUAAUCGGAAUUACUGGGCGUAAAGCGCGCGUAGGUGGUGUUGUAAGUUGGAGGUGAAAUCCCCGGGCUCAACCUGGGAACUGCCUCCAAAACUGCAUGACUAGAGUACGGUAGAGGGUAGUGGAAUUUCCUGUGUAGCGGUGAAAUGCGUAGAUAUAGGAAGGAACACCAGUGGCGAAGGCGACUACCUGGACUGAUACUGACACUGAGGUGCGAAAGCGUGGGGAGCAAACAGGAUUAGAUACCCUAGUAGUCC
rnacentral:rRNA from 1 species